UCUGCUUCUGUUGUCCCGUUGGCCAGGGGUAUGGACUCACAGAAUCUACUGGGGCUGGAACAAUUACAGAAGUGUGGGACUACAAUACCGGCAGAGUGGGAGCACCAUUAGUUUGCUGUGAAAUCAAAUUAAAGAACUGGGAGGAAGGUGGCUAUUUUAAUACUGACAAACCACAUCCCAGAGGUGAAAUUCUGAUUGGUGGCCAAAAUGUGACAAUGGGGUACUACAAAAAUGAAGCAAAAACAAAGGCCGAUUUCUUUGAAGAUGAAAACGGACAGAGGUGGCUGUGCACUGGCGAUAUUGGAGAGUUUGACCCUGAUGGCUGCCUCAAGAUCAUUGAUCGUAAAAAGGACCUUGUGAAACUACAGGCAGGAGAGUAUGUUUCUCUAGGCAAAGUUGAGGCAGCUUUGAAGAACCUCCCACUGAUAGAUAACAUUUGUGCAUAUGCAAACAGGUAAGCUCUGCAGUCUGUGUUGAGUGCACACAAGUUGGGGG
rnacentral:lncRNA from 1 species